UACGAGAGGCCCAAACGUUAUUCGGAAUUACUGGGCUUAAAGAGUUCGUAGGCGGCAUUGCAAGUAGGGUGUGAAAGCCCUCGGCUCAACCGAGGAAUUGCGCUCUAAACUGCAGUGCUUGAGGAACCUAGAGGUGAGCAGAACAGAUGGUGGAGCGGUGAAAUGCGUUGAUAUCAAUCUGGAAUACCGGAGGCGAAGGCGGCGUCACUGGGAGUUUUCUGACGCUGAGGAACGGAAAGCCAGGGUAGCGAACGGG
rnacentral:rRNA from 1 species